UCAAGUGAUAUUAGUCGGAAGGAC
rnacentral:siRNA from 1 species